rnacentral:rRNA from 1 species
AGAAAAUUACGAGCGAAAGCCUAAAACUCAAAAGACUUGACGGUGCCCCAACCUACCUAGAGGAGCCUGUUCCAUAAUCGAUAAUCCACGAUCAACCCAACCACCCCUUGAAACCACAGCCUAUAUACCGCCGUCGUCAGCCUACCUUCUUAAAGAGACAAAGUAGGCUAAAUAGAGCCCCCCCCCUAAAAAGUCAGGUCAAGGUGUAGCUAAUGGUGUGGAGAUAAUGGGCUACAUUUUCUAACAUAGAACACACGAACUAGUGCCUGAAAUUAACUAUAAAGGUGGAUUUAGCAGUAAGCCAAACAAGAACACUUGACUUAAC